UCAUUUAUUUUCAGCAUGGAUUACUCCAUUAAGAAAUGAUAAUAAGAAGCAUAAUAUUCAUAUCCUUGGCUUGUGACAAUGGUCUAGGAGGUGGCUUGAUCUGGAACUGACACAGGAACUCCUGCUCAUAUUUCAUUGGCUAGAAUGCAUUACAUUCCUAUCAAGCUCCAGUGGGUAGGAAACAACACAUGCUGUCAUCCUUCAUGACCACCACAGAACGCAAAUCUAGGAUCUUGGAUCCUGAGUGAAUAGAGUAUUUCAUGAAGGAAAUAAAUGGUCCCUGUAAAUAAUAGAAGAACACGUAAAAGAUUCCAUGUCAAGCCAAAGACCAUGGUUACACUCCAGACCACCACAUCUGAGCAGUGUUUCCUCAUUGAUAAAAGGGAAAUCAGUGAGCCUUAGAUACAGAAGCUAACAAGCAAUCAAGCACAUAAUUAGUUUAAGUGUAGGGUGCAGUGCUUGACAGAACAAGUUUUCAAUGAAUAUAUGAAGUAUUAAUAUUAUC
rnacentral:lncRNA from 1 species